CUAAAGUUUGUUUAGCAUUUACAUAUUCUUUAAAAUGCUAGAGUGAGCGCUUAAUCUCGCUCUUUCUUAUACUCACUGAGCCAGGUGGGUACUACUAAUAUCACCCCAUUUUAUAGAUGAGAAAUGUGAGGUGCAGAGAGGUCACAUCAUUAUUCCACUGCAUUCUCCUGAUGAAUUUCACAAAAGGCUAACUCUGGAAACUCAAGAGGCUUGAUGAAUGCCUGCCUCCCAAGCCAUUGGGAUGUCCCCAUUCAUUUUAUCCAGAACUUGGACAAAAAUCUCAGGGCAUAAUGUUUUGAGGCUAUCUUGAAAAUUAUGAUCACUGGUGGUUUUCUUUUAAAAUCCCUCUUAUACUAUACUUAAAGAUCGAGUAUAUGUACUUUCAAAUUUCCCUAAUUUAGCAUCCAUUCAAGUUGUUCCUGAGUUUGGUGCUUCUCAGACUUCAAGGAGCCUAAGAAUAGCCAAGGAUCUUGUUACAUGUGGGUUAUGAUUUGAAAGGUGUGGGAAGGUACUCAAAAGCUCAGGUGAUGCCAGCACUGCUGGUUUCAGGACCACAGACUAGAAAGUGUCAAAUGGCCAUUUACACGGUGACAGAGACGGGCGAUGUGCCAGGCCAGCUCCAGGUAGCCGUGAAAGUCAAUUCUCAAAUUUUCAGGAAUCUCAAGAGGUGGUUGUUAAGCACAGUCACAAUUAACAGCUAAAAUUAUAUGAAUUUGCAAUGAAAUAAACUGUAUUAAAAGUAAGGCAAAAAAAAAAAAUAAAAGUAAGGCAAUAAGUUCCCAAAGCUCAUCACCUACUAAUUCUUCUCCAUUCCUUCAUAUGAGUGCUCUCCAUGCCAUUUAGGCCUGUGGUGGGAAUACUGAUGGGAGUCUGCGGUGCAGCCCUUUCCAGCCCUGCUUCAGUGAUAUCAUCUUGGAACCUUGAAAUCAAUCAUGGUGGGAAAAUUGACACUGUGAAAACUGGAAAACACAAAUCAUGACCUCUCCCGCCCUGAAAAGGCUGAUGUUACAGCGUUUACAGGCAUACCACUCUGGUGAACCUAUGUUGUGUUCAUACGUGAUGUUUACUAAUUUGAAAAAAAUUUGGCUUGUAUUCCAAACACAUUACCAGUUUACAGUUUACAUGGGGCUAUUUUUGCCUAAUUUUGCAAAUGGGUUGUGCAUGAGAGAGAGAGAGUCUUGCAGGCCCAGUUUGUAAGUCAACUGGGCUGUAGUUCUUGAACACACAUCCUAUAUUAGUGUGCUGAUUUGGGGAAGGAAUGGGCUUGGAGCCCCACCCUGAGCCUAUCCUUCAGUUUGAUUACUCCAAGAAGGGGGAAAGUACAGAAGGGCGGUGCUAGAUGCAUGAAGUCUGUGCUCACGCUUAAAUUGCUACAUUUCAGAAAUGUCAAUUUGCUCUAUUAUUUGGACUUUAUCAUCCACCCAUUACAGUCAUUUCUUCUGCACAGUAUACGCCCUGUUUCCAUUUUGUCUUUGGCAGCCCAGACGUAUUAUUGGGCCCUUUAACAUCUGUUUCAACAACAAUGUGUCCUUGGUAAGAAAAACUAAUUAAAAACGAAGUCCCAAACAAAAUACCACAACUUAUGGUACAGUAAAUAUGGUUCCCAGGCAAAGAAAGAGAAAUCUUUCAUAUGGUUGGAGUUAUUUAUAAAACUACGACAAGCGAUGAAAGACUUGAACCAUGUUGUGAGCUGGAGGCUGCAAGAGAGGCUGCGAAGUAGCCAGCCUUGUGGAUCUGGGCUGCUUAGCCAGGGCCUCAUGGAUUGGCAAAGCCAUGCUCUGGUGAUCAGCUGUAUGAAUAACAAAAUGCACUGGAUCCUAAAACAUUUGCUCAACCCUUCUUGUUCAUUCUCCCAUCAAAUUUUCACUCAUCAAGAUAUAAGUUCAAAGGGCUGGUGAUUUCCUGAUAGGCUAAAUAGUUUUUCCUAGUCUGGCAGCCACAAGAGGAGUGAGGUUUACAUUAAGCUGAUGAAAUGCAAGUAAUAAUAGAC
ensembl:lncRNA